ensembl:lncRNA
UUUUCUCUCGUUUCCCCUGCAGCUGUCCUUCAGACUCUGGCUACCAGCUUCAGUGGUUUCUACAUCCUCAUUUAAGUUCUCCUCCUACAGCUAGCUGGUGUCCAGAUAGUUCAGCUGGCUGAGUGGGCGACUCAUAAACAGGGGCUAUAGUCCGACGCAGCGCUCAUAGGUUCGAAUCCAGCCAUUUACACAGCACCUGCUCAAGGUGGCCUGGUCGAGCCUUCCUCCUACUGUGGUCAACUGAGCGUCCUGCCGUUUCCUUUCAAAACAGGAGGAUGUGAUGCGAGGAUGUGAGUGCUGUGGUCAGGUCCCCGGUGAGCUCGCCUUGCACAGCAGCGGUGUGAGAGAUGGCUCCAUGACAAUGGGUUUCCUGGCAGGGUUUUUUCUUUUUUUCUUGCGUGGGAGGAAAUUGGCUGUUUAACGGCGGUUUAUAGGCUGCAGAGAGGUUAGAAAGUGCAACGACGGCCGGAGUGUGAUAAUAUGCUGGAAUAACUGUGUCAGCCUUGUCUGUGUUGGAGGUCUCCAUGCCAACCGCUGCACACUGGGUACAAUACAACUGUGCCUCCAAGGCUUGGGAGGGUAUUUUAAGAUCUUGUAACAUGUGCUCAUUUGAUCUUGUGGUAUUGUUAAUUUUUUAUUAUAACACCUUCUUGUAACUCUUUGCUGCGGCGUGUGGAAGGUGUUUUCACACUUGCCAGUAAAUCUCAUUUUUCACGGCGCACUGCCUCACCAGUGCUGUUGCACUACACGGUGAGGCAAGUAGAAGUUU